AUAAUAAUUAGUCUUUUAAUUGAAGGCUGGUAUGAAGGAUUGGACGAGAUAAAUGCUGUCUCAUUAAAAUUAUUAUUUAAUUUAAUUUUUAAGUAAAAAAGCUUAAAUAUAAUUAUAGGACGAGAAGACCCCAUAGAGUUUUAUAUUUUAUUUUAAUUUUUUAUAAAAUUAUAUAAAAUUAACUUAAAUUAUUUUAUUGGGGCGAUAAAAAAAUUUAAUAAACUUUUUUAUUUAGAUAAGCACAGAUUAGUGAARUUUUGAUCCUGAAUUUUAGAUUAUUAGAUUAAGUUACCUUGGGGAUAACAGSGUUAUUUUUUUUAGAAGUUCAUAUUAAUAAAGAAGAUUGC
rnacentral:rRNA from 1 species